GAUGUUAAUAGUCAAAUAUAUGCUAAAUUUUUCAUUCCCAUUUUCAUUAAUCUCUGUUUUAAAUCGUUACAUUCUUUCAUUGAUGAAGUACCACCACGUUCAAUUCAAUAAAUAAUUCUCGAAACAAAUCUAGCAAUACUGUCCAUAUCUUUUGAUUUUAAUUCUCAUCACUAGUAGUGCUGCGGUGCAAAAUCUUCCUGAAUCGGUACGACAGGAUGUGACACGAAAAUGAUGAAAGAGAAGUUCUUUAUAAAAAGAAUCGUUUCCGGUAACCAUGCAUUAAACAUUUUACACUACUUAAAUAAAGAUUCUGCCAUGCUACACUGCUCAAAACAAUGGGAAGAUUUCAGAGCACACU